AAAAGAAGAGGAAGAGGUCAAGCUAUUCAUGGCCUGUUAUGAUGAUGCAAAUGUUUGCUACUGAUAUUUGGUGUUUGGAAAGUAGGUGCUCUAAUCACAUGACCAGUGUAAAGUCAUUAUUCUAGGAGCUUGAUGAAUCAUUGAAGUUGAAAAGUGAGAAUUGGUGACAACAAGCAUAUGCAAGUUGAAGGACAAAGGUAUUAUGGCAAUAUGGUCAUGGUAACAUCAAGGUUCU
rnacentral:lncRNA from 1 species